AGGAGGAGGCAGGAGGAGGCUGGUGCAAAUGAAGAAAAAGGAAAGGAAGCAGGAGGAAGGGCAAGUGGUAGCAGAGGAUAAUUGCGUUAGGAAUGGGGAGGGUGCUGGACUAAGGAGAAGCAAAUGGUUGUAGCACAAGAAUGAGAGGCAUUGCAAGGAAAUGCACAGCUUUCUCCAUAGAAGAAGAUAUGUAGACAGAACAAGAGGGUACAACGUUCAACAUGGUGUGCAAACAAGGACACUUCAGUAAUCAAAGCCAUUUGAUAUACCUUCUAAUAGAAAGAUGGGUCUUCAAAGUUGGAAUUUCUGCCCUGAACUCUGCAACGAAUGAAUGUGAGCGCCAAAUUUCAGAAUCCUAGCUUGACAGGAACAUGGAAAUUAAUUGCAUCAGUCAGACAGUGCAUUGAGCUUACAAGCAUCUGUAAGUUAUUAGAUAAUAGAAAGUCUUUGACUAUGAUAUUAGAACUGAUUGUUACCUUGCGUAUUUUUAAUAUCGCUGGACAAUCCCUGCUUUGAAAAAUUCAGCAAUUCACAUUGCUGCCACAUUCACUAAACUUCAUAUUCAAAAAGUUUACUUUAGCAUGAAUCUUUUUUUUCCUUUAUAUUCCUUAGAUCUAAUACAAAUUAUGCAGGGCAAGUAUUAGCUGUGUCCCAAAAUUAUCUAUUGAUC